GAUGGACGUGCAGGUGCAUUUCGUGACUGUCGGCUGUUACCAGUGGCCGGAUGGCAUCGCGCGUCAGCCUUUCGUGCCGCUCGGAGCGGCCGUUG
rnacentral:tRNA from 1 species